CACAAAGACUAUAUCUAUCAAGGUUUUAUUACAUGAACAAACACACACUCUCCUCUCUCUCUCUCUCUCUCUCUCUCUCUCUCUCUCUCUCUCUCUCUCUCUCUCUCUCUCUCUCUCUCUCACUCAAAGAUCACGUGACAUUAAGCAUUAUAUAAGACACAACAACAAUUUUCCACCUCAGUUACCCGCCAGCUUUCAGAGGGAGAGGACGCCGCCCCCCCUUCUCUCCUCCCUCCUGCCCCCUCACGCUACCUAUCAGCUGUUGUCUCGAGUGUUUUCGCUGAGUGUCGCUACAAAAACAGAGCGGUAGCAGCAGUAGACCUUUCAAGAUGACUCCUGAUAACACAAUAACGAAGCGAGUCACUGCUAACGGCGCCAUUCACAACGGGGCGCUCAGAAACACCACCAACAAGAUCAAGAGCAAGAUUAAUGGCAGUCUUUCCAACGGGGCUACCAAUGGCGUCGCUUUGAAUGGGGAAC